rnacentral:misc_RNA from 1 species
AACGCACAUUGCGCCCCCUGGUAUUCCGGAGGGCAUGCCCGUUUCAGAAUCAUUAAGUAUCUCAUACUGGCCUUUCUGGUGUGUCAACACUAGGCUGGCCAUGUGUGGAAUCUGGAUGUUUUGCACCUCUCUUGGUGCAAUUGUCUGAAUAUGAUUGUUCGUGCUGCCGAUCUGGUCGGUCUGCCCUCGAAGUGAAACAAACAAAUGAAUCGCUUAGAGGCUGCCUGAAUGGGUCACCAGCGACGUACUCCAACCAACUACACGGGCGGAUCCUCCUUUGGGAGCUUCAUCCGAUAACUUGGUCUGAAAUCGGGCAAGAAAACCCGCUGAACUUAA